GCCAGCAGUUCGGCGUGGGCACUCUAAAGGGACUGCCGGUGUUAAACCGGAGGAAGGUGGGGAUGACGUCAAGUCCUCAUGGCCUUUAUGACCAGGGCUACACACGUACUACAAUGGCCGAUACAAAGGGCAGCGACACUGCGAGGUGAAGCCAAAUCCCGUAAAAAUCCGGUCUCAGUCCGGAUUGGAGUCUGCAACUCGACUCCAUGAAGUUGGAAUCGCUAGUAAUCGUGGAUCAGCAUAGCCACGGUGAAUACGUUCCCGGGCCUU
rnacentral:rRNA from 1 species